GACGAACGCGGCGGCGUGCCUAAUACAUGCAAGUCGAACGAACCGCGACUAGGUGCUUGCACUUGGUCAAGGUGAGUGGCGAACGGGUGAGUAACACGUGGGUAACCUACCUCAUAGUGGGGGAUAACAGUCGGAAACGACUGCUAAUACCGCAUAGGACAUAGGAUCACAUGAUUCAGUGAGGAAAGGUGGCGCAAGCUAUCGCUAAGAGAUGGACCCGCGGUGCAUUAGCUAGUUGGUAGGGUAACGGCCUACCAAGGCAAUGAUGCAUAGCCGACCUGAGAGGGUGAUCGGCCACAUUGGGACUGAGACACGGCCCAAACUCCUACGGGAGGCAGCAGUAGGGAAUCUUCCGCAAUGGACGCAAGUCUGACGGAGCAACGCCGCGUGAGUGAAGAAGGUCUUCGGGAUCGUAAAAGCUCUGUUGGUAGAGAAAGAAAC
rnacentral:rRNA from 1 species